rnacentral:misc_RNA from 1 species
AAGUCGUAACAAGGUCUCCGUAGGUGAACCUGCGGAAGGAUCAUUAACACGAAUUUUAUCCAAUACCAAACCAAACGUGAACUUUUCCCCUCCCUGUUCAAAGGACUUAUCGUCUUUUGUAUAGGCUAACACUUUUUUAACUUAUAUAUAAUAAAUUCUCCUUUCUGGAUUGUUUAUUGUAUAUAUAGUUUAUAACCCCUAAAACUUUAACUCUAGUUGUUAGAGGUCUCCUCUUCAACUACUAAACACUAAAAAUGUCAUCUCUCUUUAUUGAGGAUGCUUUUUUCGAUUUUACGAAAAAUUAAGAACAACUCUUAACAAUGGAUAUCUUGGUUCUC